CACGUAGGGCGCGAGCGUUGUCCGGAAUUAUUGGGCGUAAAGAGCUCGUAGGCGGCCUGUUGCGUCCGCUGUGAAAGCCCGGGGCUUAACCCCCGGGUCGGCAGUGGAUACGGGCAGGCUAGAGGUAGGUAGGGGAGAAUGGAGUUCCCGGUGUAGCGGUGAAAUGCGCAGAUAUCAGGAGGAACACCGGUGGCGAAGGCGGGUCUCUGGGCCGAUACUGACACUGAGGAGCGAAAGCGUGGGGAGCGAACAGG
rnacentral:rRNA from 1 species